ensembl:snRNA U6 U6 spliceosomal RNA
GUGCUCACUUGAGCAACACAAAUACUAAAAUUUGAUUGAUACAGAGGUUAGCAUGGCCCCUGAACAAGGAUGACACAGAAAUUUGUGAUAUAUUCCAUAUGAUU